AUCAGCACCAGAUCGACGUCACCAAACUUUAGAGGAUGACGUGGGGUUCCCGGAUGUGGACAGAACGAGCGACGGUGAUGCACGCGCCUGUGUGACACACGCGACACCGCUGAGCCAGGCUAGACCAGAGCAAUGGAAAGUAGCCAGCUAGCAUGGUAGAUAACUGCAUUGAAUCUGAAAACAAGCUAAACUGUCCAAGUUUAAGGCACCCACCUGGAUGUACAACUACGUUUGGCUGCAAGUUGACCCUAACUGGAAAGCCUAUUAGUGUUUCAAAACAAAUGUAGCCGCAAAUAUCGUUUUCGGAUAAAGAUUUUGGCUAGCCCUUGGUAGCGCAGGCAGUCGGCAGUUUUGCUUAGUUAUACACUGAGAGCAAGUAAAAGAGAUACACUUGUGUGGAUUACGUAAACAUAUCAAACCAAGGUUUGUGUGAUUUUGCUAAAAUGCAUCACCAACAGCGAAUGGCUGCCUUAGGGACAGACAAAGAACUAAGCGACUUAUUGGAUUUCAGUGCGAUGCGAAACAGCGAUUUGAAAAUGUUCCCAACAUCAAUGAUGUUCUCUCCUCCUGUUAGUGGUAGAAACAGACCAACCUCCCUGGGAAGUGGACAUUUUGCAGGCUCAAGUAUGUCAAUCUCAGCUCAUUUAAAGAACACAAUUAUAGCUGUGGAUAUUGCAUAUGGUGUUUGAACAUGUUACUAUCAUUUUUUGAGCUUCACUGUGUAAAAAUCAUUUUGUUUUCCUCUUACAACGACAAAUUAUAUUAUUACAUAUUAUUUUUUAGCUUUGUUUAUCAGCUAUUAAGAAUAUAAGGGUCUCGUUGUACAUUUGUAUUUACAUUUAACAAGGCAAGUCAGUUAAGAACACAUUCUUAUUUACAAUGACGGCCUAGGAACAGUGGAUUAACUGCCUGUUCAGGGGCAGAACGACAAAUUGUCAGCUCGGGGAUUCGAUCCAGCAACCUUUCAGUUACUGGCCCAAUGCCCUAACCUUACCGCUCCAAAACAUACAUCAUACAUUAUUAUUGAUAACCCUUUAAGUUGUGAAUGAUAGUAGUGGGUUUACAUGUGAUUUCUCUGGGAUCACUGGGCCUCCCACUCAGUACAUAGCCGAGGAGGCCUGAUGUGUCUUUAAACAGCAGGCAUCGUUCCUCUUUGGGUCGUAACAGCAGGCCUUAGUGAAGACUCAGGCAUCGUUCCUCUUUGGGUCGUAACAGCAGGUGUAUAGCAUGUCAGUACCAGAGAGACGUUGAAUGAAGUUACACCUCCGUCAUAUUUCUGUGGGGUUUUGAAAGGCAGUGACGAUGCAUUUGAGUUGUUGUUUUUGUAGGGUCUACUACAGGGUUUGUUAAAGUCUCUUGUCUGUAGCACAGGAGCAGCAGUAGGGGUUUAAAAUGUAUGGACUAGCCUUUGGAUUGUCAUUUCCUCCAUGUGGAUGCGUAGAACCGGUUUUGGGUUUAGUAACAGCAGGUGUAGGGUGUUACACUACACCCAGUCCAAUCUAGUACAGGUUUAAACUGAAUGAACUGUAAAGACGAAUUCAACAUGACACUUUAUUCAAUGGUUUUGAGGGGAACGGACUCGUCUCCGAGGGGAGAUCCUCGGAGCCAGAUGAUGUGGUUGUAGCUAGCCCCGUGCUCUGCUGGCAUUGAAACCCCACCGCUGGGGGGCGGGGGGGAUUCCAAACACUGGUUCUUAAAGUUAUUAUAUAUAACUGGUGGUGGGGAAGUGGAUAGUUGUCAAACUGUUGCCAAAAAAAAAAAAAAACAGGAAGUGAGAGAACAAGGGUAAGUUCACAUAUAAAUACAUCCCCCUCAUUGGUUGAGAAAGAGGAAGGUGAUGCUUGCAACAGUGAACCCAUUGGUUAAACAGGCCCGCGUGAGGAAUGUGCAUUAUUACGCCGUGCUCGUAGGUCAUAGGGUAAAUAGAUGAAUGACAUUCCACACAGGGCUAAUAGGAAACAGGACGUUGUGCUGAUGAUGAGGGAGUUUCGUUUUGUAUUCAUUCCCACAAUGCCCCUAAGAAUAGGAAACAUUAGUGAAUUGUGUUCUGCUUACUGGAUGAAGAUUAACAAGCAUUAAGACCAAGAGAGACGAUGAAGAAUUGUGUUUACGCUGUUGUCGUUUGUAGGCCUUUGUGGCAGGCAGUUCACUCUUUUGUCUCUGUAGCACAUUAGCAGAAAUGUUGGUGUUUUGGAAUAGACAUUGCAUUAGAAUCUGCCUCUGUAGGU